rnacentral:rRNA from 1 species
CAGCAGCCGCGGGAAUACGAAGGGGGCUAGCGUUGUUCGGAUUUACUGGGCGUAAAGCGCACGUAGGCGGAUCGAUCAGCCAGGGGUGAAAUCCCAGAGCUCAACUCUGGAACUGCCUCUGAUACUGUCGAUCUGGAGUAUGGAAGAGGUGAGUGGAAUUCCGAGUGUAGAGGUGAAAUUCGUAGAUAUUCGGAGGAACACCAGUGGCGAAGGCGGCUCACUGGUCCAUUACUGGCGCUGAGGUGCGAAAGCGUGGGGAGCAAACAGGAUUAGAUACCCCCGUAGUCCCUGUCUCUUAUAC